GUUGUAGCUCAGUUGGUUAGAGCGCUGGAUUGUGGUUCCAGAGGUCGCCGGUUCAAAUCCGGUCUUC
rnacentral:tRNA from 1 species